rnacentral:rRNA from 1 species
CCUACGGGGCGCAGCAGUGGGGGAUAUUGCACAAUGGGGGAAACCCUGAUGCAGCGACGCCGCGUGGGCGAAGAAGUAUUUCGGUAUGUAAAGCCCUAUCAGCAGGGAAGAAGAAAUGACGGUACCGGAGUAAGAAGCACCGGCUAAAUACGUGCCAGCAGCAGCGGUAAUACGUAUGGUGCAAGCGUUAUCCGGAUUUACUGGGGGUAAAGGGAGCGCAGGCGGCACGGCAAGCCUGAUGUGAAAGCCCGCGGCCGAACCGCGGGACUGCAUUGGGAACUACCGGGCUGGAGUGCCGGAGAGGUAGGCGGAAUUCCUAGUGUAGCGGUGAAAUGCGUAGAUAUUAGGAGGAACACCAGUGGCGAAGGCGGCCUACUGGACGGUGACUGACGCUGAGGCUCGAAAGCGUGGGGAGCAAACAGGAUUAGAUACCCUUGUAGUC